ACUUCCCUAAGAACAUUAUCACUUAGGUUUAAAACUAUGGCACCAUAGGUUGCCUUCUCCAUAGUUUCUUUGUCUUCUUGAGUAACUGUUUUAGGUAGCUUUUAUGGAUCUGUGAGGGCUUUCAAUUCCUUUUGUUGGCCAACUAUGGCUUUGAUCUUAGCUUUCCAUAAGGUAAAAUCAUUCUUACCAUCAAACUUCUCAAUAUCAUACCUUGCAACUUCCACCUUUGGGUUUCUUGAAAUCAAGAAUUUGAAUAUUCCUAUGCAUGCUCUGAUACCAAUUUGAAGGGGCAGUCACGUGUAUGAACAAGGAAAAGCCACUUAAUACAUGUUAAAGUGGAUGGUGAGAUGAUGAAGAUGAAGAGAGGAAGAAGGAAAAGAUGAACACACGAGAUUUUUAAGUGGUUCGACAAAAUACCUACGUCCAUUGUGCUUGGGAGCAAGAUGUCAUUUUAGUUCUAUGAUUGUAAUUUCAAAAUGAUACAAGGUAUUUGUAGUCUCUCUUAUGACUCUAGUUAAAACUCUAGUUAAAUCAAAAGUUAAAAGAAGAUGUUCUAACUAAUUUGUAAUUAUAUUUCUUUUACAAACGGAUAACUAAUUUGUUAAGAUUUCUAUAGUUAUGAGAAGUACUUUUAAUUCACUAGAAAA